GAUGAACGCUGGCGGCGUGCCUAAUACAUGCAAGUCGAGCGAACAGACGAGGAGCUUGCUCCUCUGACGUUAGCGGCGGACGGGUGAGUAACACGUGGAUAACCUACCUAUAAGACUGGGAUAACUUCGGGAAACCGGAGCUAAUACCGGAUAAUAUAUUGAACCGCAUGGUUCAAUAGUGAAAGACGGUUUUGCUGUCACUCAUAGAUGGAUCCGCGCCGCAUUAGCUAGUUGGUAAGGUAACGGCUUACCAAGGCAACGAUGCGUAGCCGACCUGAGAGGGGGAGAGUCAACACUAGAGAUGCGAGCGAAUGGAGCAACGGCUGGGAGGAAGCGGUAGGGAAGAUUAGGAAAGGAGAGCAUGUCUGAAAGAGCAAAACAGCGUGAAUAAUAAAGGUGUAAGGAUCGUAAAACUUCUUGACGAGGGAAGAACAAAAGGCCACGGAAAUAUGCCCGCAAUGACGGGCCCUAAUAAGAAAGACAGGGCUAACUUCAUG
rnacentral:rRNA from 1 species